GAAAAGUGCAAAUACUUUCAUCCCCCUGCACAUUUGCAAGCCAAGAUCAAGGCUGCCCAAUACCAGGUCAACCAGGCUGCAGCUGCACAGGCUGCAGCCACCGCAGCUGCCAUGGGAAUUCCUCAAGCUGUACUUCCCCCAUUACCAAAGAGGCCUGCUCUUGAAAAAACCAACGGUGCCACCGCAGUCUUUAACACUGGUAUUUUCCAAUACCAACAGGCUCUAGCCAACAUGCAGUUACAACAGCAUACAGCAUUUCUCCCACCAGGCUCAAUAUUGUGCAUGACACCCGCUACAAGUGUUGUUCCCAUGGUGCACGGUGCUACGCCAGCCACUGUGUCCGCAGCAACAACAUCUGCCACAAGUGUUCCCUUCGCUGCAACAGCCACAGCCAACCAGAUACCCAUAAUAUCUGCCGAACAUCUGACUAGCCACAAGUAUGUUACCCAGAUGUAGAAUUUUCAUCACUAAACAAUCAUGCUAAAGAGGAAAGGACAGUGUGCUUGGUUAGAGUAAAGGACGAGGUCAUUAGCCAUAUUGUAUAUAUCGUCAAGCAACACACACAAAAGUUCCUCAGCCACAAGACAUCCACAUAUUGCAUGUUAACCAGAAGAAAAGACAACAUUUUCCGGAAAUCCACUGCACACUGUUGCCUAUACACUUUGUACAUUUAAUUGAUAUUUGUGCUGAGGUGAUAUUCCUGUCUAAAAGAACAACAUUGUCUUUCUUUUCUAGCACAGAGUUAUGCAUUCAAAGAUGCAUACCUAGUUAGUUUCCUAUAUAUUCAUGCCAUCUUGAAAAGACAGACUAUGGUGUAACCAUGAUUCUAUUAUGUAUUGGUACGUCUGUAGACCAAGAUAUAAUUUUUUAAAAAUAAGUUUAUUUCUUUCAAGGUUUACAAAUAACAAAGGUGCACCUUGUAUUUAAAAUUGCCAUUAUAGAUGAGAGCGUGCAUGCACAGUCAUUUUUGUUUAAGAGUAAUAUUUUUAAUGUAAUAGAUUGUAAGACGUGGUGAGGGAGGGAUCUGACAGAGAUGAAUGUGCCAAGCAAAACCACAACUGUGUAUAUUUUAAAGCACAUCAUGGCUUUAAGUACCAUGUUGUUAAGGAUUCUCAUGAAGUGCCAUAGACUGUACAUCAAAUUAGAGUAUUAUUUCUUCAGUGUUAUUGUUUUCAGAGCCACAUUUUGUUGCAUAUUUGCUAGUACUAAUCAGUCAAAGGGCACCAUUCUUUUUUUUUUUUUUUGAAACCAAAGCUGUCUCAGAAAUGGCCAAUUUAACUUUACAGUAACAAUAGACAGCACAACACAAACUCUCUCAAUACAGAUAAACUCACACAUACUGGAGAUAUAUAUAUAAUAGAUAUAUAUAAAAUUAUUUUAAUGCAUUGUAGUGUAAUAUUUAUGCAUACUAUACUGUAUAACAUGUUAUUCAAAAGGGAUUGCCAUUUCUGAGACACAGUAACAAAAAAAUGAGGAAAUUAUUUUGCUUCUAUUUAUAGCCUCUGUCAAAAGUCAAAAGACUAUAAAUGCUUUGCAAAAAUGGUUUCACGUUUGCUUAAAUGCUUCAUCACAGUCACAUUCAAAAUAGUGACUCUAAACAAAGAAGAAAGCAGCACUGUCAUCAGAUGCAUGAUAAACC
rnacentral:lncRNA from 1 species